rnacentral:rRNA from 1 species
GACGAACGCUGGCGGCGCGCCUAACACAUGCAAGUCGAACGGAGCUGAGAAGAGCUUGCUUUUCUCAGCUUAGUGGCGAACGGGUGAGUAACGCGUGAGUAACCUGCCCUGGAGUGGGGGACAACAGUUGGAAACGACUGCUAAUACCGCAUAAGCCCACGGCCCGGCAUCGGGCUGCGGGAAAAGGAUUUAUUCGCUUCAGGAUGGACUCGCGUCCAAUUAGCUAGUUGGUGAGGUAACGGCCCACCAAGGCGACGAUUGGUAGCCGGACUGAGAGGUUGAACGGCCACAUUGGGACUGAGACACGGCCCAGACUCCUACGGGAGGCAGCAGUGGGGGAUAUUGCACAAUGGGGGAAACCCUGAUGCAGCGACGCCGCGUGGAGGAAGAAGG